AACGAACGCUGGCGGCAGGCCUAACACAUGCAAGUCGAGCGGGACCUUCGGGUCUAGCGGCGGACGGGUGAGUAUCGCGUGGGAAUGUGCCCUUCUCUACGGAAUAGCAUCGGGAAACUGAGAGUAAUACCGUAUACGCCCUUUGGGGGAAAGAUUUAUCGGAGAAGGAUCAGCCCGCGUUGGAUUAGGUAGUUGGUGGGGUAAUGGCCUACCAAGCCGACGAUCCAUAGCUGGUUUGAGAGGAUGAUCAGCCACACUGGGACUGAGACACGGCCCAGACUCCUACGGGAGGCAGCAGUGGGGAAUCUUAGACAAUGGGGGAAACCCUGAUCGAGCCAUGCCGCGUGAGUGAUGAAGGCCUUAGGGUUGUAAAGCUCUUUCAGCUGGGAAGAUAAUGACGGUACCAGCAGAAGAAGCCCCGGCUAACUCCGUGCCAGCCGCCGCAGUAACAC
rnacentral:rRNA from 1 species